CCUACGGGGAGCUGCAGUGAGGAAUAUUGGUCAAUGGACGAGAGUCUGAACCAGCCAAGUAGCGUGAAGGAUGACUGCCCUAUGGGUUGUAAACUUCUUUUAUAUGGGAAUAAAAUGUUCCACGUGUGGGAUUUUGUAUGUACCAUAUGAAUAAGGAUCGGCUAACUCCGUGCCAGCAGCCGCGGUAAUACGGAGGAUCCGAGCGUUAUCCGGAUUGAUUGGGUUUAAAGGGAGCGUAGGUGGAUUGUUAAGUCAGUUGUGAAAGUUUGCGGCUCAACCGUAAAAUUGCAGUUGAAACUGGCAGUCUUGAGUACAGUAGAGGUGGGCGGAAUUCGUGGUGUAGCGGUGAAAUGCUGAGAUAUCACGAAGAACUCCGAUUGCGAAGGCAGCUCACUGGACUGCAACUGACACUGAGGCUCGAAAGUGUGGGUAUCAAACAGGAUUAGAUACCCCAGUAGUC
rnacentral:rRNA from 1 species